rnacentral:tRNA from 1 species
CGGGGUGUAGUUUAAUGGUAGAAUGAGCGGCUGGGGGUCGCUUGGCUGGAGUUCGAUUCUCCGCACCCCGA